CUUGUGGUACAUCCUUGUAUUACAUUAACGCUGCGCUGCCUUGUGGUACAUCCUUGUAUUACAUUAACGCUGCGCCACCUUGUGGUACAUCAUGGUAUUACAUCUAACCUACCAGUGGGCAUUCCUUCAUUCCACUCUGUCAGUCAGUCAGUAAUCUCACACAUUCUUCUGUAUAAGUGCACACUCGCUCGCAUACUCACAUAGUAUACAAUAGAAAUCGACUUGUGAAAAUAGUGUGCAGCCUGUGUCAUCUACCUAUGAAAACAAUCUUACCAUUUAAAAAAGAAGUGUAUUAUAUCAAAAACAUAGGAUACCAUAGUGCAUCGGAUUUUAAAGAUUUGCAUCCAUCAUUCUGUUCGUCCAGGACUCUGCCAGAAGCAAAGUAAUAACCCAGGAUAUAGCACAGUGAAAAACAUGAGUUACAGUCAGUCAGACAUUUAGAUUGGAGUUGGUGAUUACAAAAAGCAGCCACAGACAUCAUCAUAUGGCUAUAGAUGGUUAACAUGCAGAAGAGAAGGGAAUCUCUUACUGUACCUUACACACUGUGCAGUUCCUCCUCAUUAAAGGUCUCAGUCAGUAACUCCUCAUUAAAGGUCCCAGUCAGUUCCUCCUCAUUAAAGGUCCCAGUCAGUUCCUCCUCAUUAAAGGUCCCAGUCAGUUCCUCCUCAUUAAAGGUCUCAGUCAGUUCCUCCCCAUUAAAGGUCCCAGUCAGUUCCUCCUCAUUAAAGGUCUCAGUCAGUUCCUCCUCAUUAAAGGUCCCAGUCAGUUCCUCCUCAUUAAAGGUCUCAGUCAGUUUCCUCCCCAUUAAAGGUCCCAGUCAGUUCCUCCUCAUUAAAGGUCUCAGUCAGUUCCUCCUCAUUAAAGGUCCCAGUCAGUUCCUCCUCAUUAUAGGUCUCAGUCAGUUCCUCCUCAUUAAAGGUCUCAGUCAGUUCCUCCUCAUUAAAGGUCUCAGUCAGUUCACUCCUCAUUAAAGGUCCCAGUCAGUUCCUCCUCAUUAAAGGUCUCAGUCAGUUCCUCCCCAUUAAAGGUCCCAGUCAGUUCCUCCUCAUUAAAGGUCUCAGUCAGUUCCUCCUCAUUAAAGGUCCCAGUCAGUUCCUCCUCUUUAAAGGCCCCAGUCAGUUCCUCCUCUUUAAAGGUCCCAGUCAGUUCCUCCUCAUUAAAGGUCUCAGUCAGUUCCUCCUCAUUAAAGGUCCCAGUCAGUUCCUCCUCAUUAAAGGUCCCAGUCAGUUCCUCCUCAUUAAAGGUCCCAGUCAGUUCCUCCUCAUUAAAGGUCCCAGUCAGUUCCUCCUCAUUAAAGGUCUCAGUCAGUUUCCUCCCCAUUAAAGGUCCCAGUCAGUUCCUCCUCAUUAAAGGUCUCAGUCAGUUCCUCCUCAUUAAAGGUCUCAGUCAGUUGUACCCUUAUCCAUUCCAGCCAUUAUUAUGAGCUGUCCUCCCUUCACCAGCCUCCACUGACUCUCCUGUACAUAGAGGAGGCUAUCCAUUUGUGGCCCUAUUACCUUGUGGCCCUAUCAAUUUGUGGCCCUAUCUGUUUGCUUAAAGGGAUAGUGCACCCAAAUGACACUAUCGCCUUUAAAUUCAGAGGGUUCCUGAGUUGUUGGAAUAGAGAUAUUGCUGCUUGAGAUUCUUUAUUCCAUAGCCCUCUGAUAUCUCUCUAGUGUUCUAGAGCCCUCUGAUAUCUCUCUAGUGUUCUAGAGCCCUCUGAUAUCGCUCUACUGUUCUAGAGCCCUCUGAUAUCUCUCUACUGUUCUAGAGCCCUCUGAUAUCUCUCUACUGUU